rnacentral:rRNA from 1 species
GGGGAAUCUUCCGCAAUGGGCGCAAGCCUGACGGAGCAACGCCGCGUGGGUGAUGAAGGCCUUCGGGUUGUAAAACCCUGUCUUAUGGGAAGAAGAAAGUGACGGUACCAUAGGAGGAAGCCACGGCUAACUACGUGCCAGCAGCCGCGGUAAUACGUAGGUGGCGAGCGUUGUCCGGAAUUACUGGGCGUAAAGGGCGCGCAGGCGGACAUUUAAGUCAGAUGUGUAAUCUACGGGCUUAACCUGUAGUUUGGAUCUGAAACUGGGUGUCUUGAGGGCAGGAGAGGACAGUGGAAUUCCUAGUGUAGCGGUGAAAUGCGUAGAUAUUAGGAGGAACACCAGUGGCGAAGGCGACUGUCUGGACUGCAACUGACGCUGAGGCGCGAAAGCGUGGGGAGCGAAC